UACGUAGGGGGCAAGCGUUGUCCGGAAUCAUUGGGCGUAAAGCGCGCGUAGGUGGCCUCAUAAGUCCGCUGUGAAAGUCCAAGGCUCAACCUUGGAAAGCCGGUGGAUACUGUGAGGCUAGAGUACGGAAGAGGCGAGUGGAAUUCCUGGUGUAGCGGUGGAAUGCGCAGAUAUCAGGAGGAACACCAAUAGCGAAGGCAGCUCGCUGGGACGUUACUGACGCUGAGACGCGAAAGCGUGGGGAGCGAACAGG
rnacentral:rRNA from 1 species